rnacentral:rRNA from 1 species
GACGAACGCUGGCGGCGUGCUUAACACAUGCAAGUCGAACGGAGUGGCGAACGGGUGAGUAACAUGUGGGUGACCCGCCCUCCACUUUGGGAUAAGCCCGGGAAACUGGGUCUCAUACCGGAUAGUUUGGGAUGGGCGCGCGGCCUAUCAGCUUGUUGGUGGGGUAAUGGCCUACCGAGGCGGCGACGGGUUGCCGGGCUGGGAGGGUGGACGGCCACAUUGGGACUGAGACACGGACCAGAGUCCUACGGGGGGCAGCAGGGGGAAAGAUUGAACAAUGGGCGGAAGGCUGAUGCAGCGACGCCGCGGGGGGGAUGACGGCCUUCGGGUUGUAAACUCGUUUAACCAUCAACGCGGUAGAUGGAGAAGAAGCACCGGCUAACUACGUGCCAGCAGCCGCGGUAAUUC